rnacentral:rRNA from 1 species
UACAGAGGUCUCAAGCGUUGUUCGGAUUCAUUGGGCGUAAAGGGUGCGUAGGUGGCGCCGUCAGUCAGGUGUGAAAUUUCGGAGCUCAACUCCGAAACUGCAUUUGAUACUGCGGUUGCGUUGAGGACUGGAGAGGAGACUGGAAUUCACGGUGUAGCAGUAGAAAUGCGUAGAUAUCGUGAGGAAGACCGUGGCGGAAGGCGGGUCUCGUGGACAGUUCCUGACACUG